ACGCUGGCGGCGUGCUUAACACAUGCAAGUCGAACGAGCACUUCGGUGCUAGUGGCGGACGGGUGAGUAAGACAUAGAUAACCUGCCCUUGAGUGGGGGAUAACUAGCCGAAAGGUUAGCUAAUACCGCAUGAUGUGGUUAGUUGAGAUGCUAAUCAAGAAAGGAGCAAUUCGCUUUUGGAGGGGUCUAUAGUCGAUUAGCUAGUUGGUGGGGUAAAGGCCUACCAAGGCGAUGAUCGAUAGCUGGUCUGAGAGGACGAUCAGCCACACUGGGACUGAGACACGGCCCAGACUUCUACGGAAGGCAGCAGUGGGGAAUUUUCCGCAAUGGGCGAAAGCCUGACGGAGCGACGCCGCGUGGAGGAAGAAGUUUUUCGGAAUGUAAACUCCUGUCAUCAGGGACGAAUAAAAUGACGGUACCUGAGGAGGAAGCAUCGGCUAACUACGUGCCAGCAGCCGCGGUAAUACGUAGGAUGCAAGCGUUGUUCGGAAUUACUGGGCGUAAAGCGUACGUAGGCGGUGACAUAAGUUUAAUAUUAAAGACCGAAGCUCAACUUCGGGAAUGUAUUGAAUACUGUGUCGCUAGAGGUUAAUAGAGGAAAUCGGAAUUCCCAGUGUAGCGGUGAAAUGCGUAGAUAUUGGGAAGAACACCGGUGGCGUUAGAUACCCUGGUAGUCCACACGGUAAACGAUGGAUACUAGCUGUAAUGGGAUUCGACCCCUAUUGUGGCGUAGCAAACGCAAUAAGUAUCCCGCCUGGGGAGUAUGGCCGCAAGGUUGAAACUCAAAGGAAUUGACGGGGACCCGCACAAGCGGUGGAGGAUGUGGUUUAAUUCGACGCAACGCGAAGAACCUUACCAAGACUUGACAUCCUUGAGAUCUUGUAGAAAUACGAGAGUGCUCGAAAGAGAAUCAAGAGACAGGUGGUGCAUGGCUGUCGUCAGCUCGUGUCGUGAGAUGUUGGGUUAAGUCCCGCAACGAGCGCAACCCUCGAUGCCAGUUGCCAGCAUUAAGUUGGGGACUCUGGCGUGACUGCCGGUGAUAAGCCGGAGGAAGGUGAGGACGACGUCAAGUCAUCAUGCCCCUUACGUCUUGGGCUACACACGUCCUACAAUGGUAUAGACAAAGGGUAGCAAGUAUGCAAAUGCAAGCCAAUCCCAUAAACUAUAUCUCAGUUCGGAUUGUGGGCUGAAACUCGCCCACAUGAAGUCGGAAUCGCUAGUAAACGUAGAUCAGCAUGCUACGUUGAAUACGUUCCCGGGUCUCGUACACACCGCCCGUCACACCACGAAAGUUUGUCAUACCCGAAACCCGGUGUCCUAACCCGCAAGGGAGGGGGCCGUCUAAGGUAGGGCCCGA
rnacentral:rRNA from 1 species